rnacentral:tRNA from 1 species
AUUAGAAUGGCAGAGGAUGGUAAUUGCAAGAGAUCUAAAAUCUUUUACCCAGAGGUUCAACUCCUCUUUCUAAUU